ACGGAAUAGAUACCCAGGUAGUCCACGCCCUAAACGAUGUCUACUAGUUGUUGGUGGAGUAAAAUCCAUGAGUAAACGCAGCUAAACGCGUGAAGUAGACCGCCUGGGGAGUACGGUCGCAAGAUUAAAACUCAAAUGAAUUGACGGGGGCCCGCACAAGCGGUGGAUUAUGUGGAUUAAUUCGAUGCAACGCGAAAACCUUACCUGGCCUUGACAUGUAACGAACUUUCCAGAGAUGGAUUGGUGCUCGAAAGAGAACGUUAACACAGGUGCUGCAUGGCUGUCGUCAGCUCGUGUCGUGAGAUGUUGGGUUAAGUCCCGCAACGGGCGCAACCCUUGCCAUUAAUUGCCAUCAUUUAGUUGGGCACUUUAAUGGGACUGCCGGUGACAAACCGGAGGAAGGUGGGGAUGACGUCAAGUCCUCAUGGCCCUUAUGGCCAGGGCUUCACACGUAAUACAAUGGUCGGUACAGAGGGUUGCCAACCCGCGAGGGGAGCCAAUCCCAGAAAGCCGAUCGUAGUCCGGAUUGUAGUCUGCAACUCGACUAC
rnacentral:rRNA from 1 species